rnacentral:rRNA from 1 species
GUGAGGAAUCUUCCACAAUGGGGGCAACCCUGAUGGAGCAACGCCGCGUGCAGGAUGAAGGCCUUCGGGUUGUAAACUGCUUUUAUAAGUGAAGAAUAUGACGGUAACUUAUGAAUAAGGAUCGGCUAACUACGUGCCAGCAGCCGCGGUCAUACGUAGGAUCCGAGCGUUAUCCGGAGUGACUGGGCGUAAAGAGUUGCGUAGGCGGUUAGUAAAGCGAAUAGUGAAAUCUGGUGGCUCAACCAUUCAGGCUAUUAUUCGAACUCACUAUCUCGAGAGUGGUAGAGGUAACUGGAAUUUCUUGUGUAGGAGUGAAAUCCGUAGAUAUAAGAAGGAACACCGAUGGCGUAGGCAGGUUACUGGACCAUUUCUGACGCUAAGGCACGAAAGCGUGGGGAGCGAACCGGAUUAGAAACCCUUGUAGUCC